CAGCGUUUGCUCGAAAAUUUCAUUACUUGUCAGGAAUGUACAAUUGUAUCGCAAAUAUUUGUGUUACUUUAUAUUUUUGUAAAUAUUGGUAUAAAAAAUGAAACUUUGACGAAGAAUAAUUUUAUCUCCUAAAAACUAUCACAGGUACCCCAUUUACUAUAUUUGUUGCAUAUUAUGUGCAUUCUUUUUAGUCAUUUUUGCACCUUUAAUUUUCCAACGAGUGCAUAAAAAUUCGCGAUUUAUACCAUACGUAAUAAAAAUAUUACGAACUUCUCCGAUAAUCUAACAUUAACAACGAUCAUAAUGUCGAUCGACAACCAAGAAAGGGAAAUUAGUUGUAUUUUAUCGCUGCUCGCUCUUUAUACUUUGCAACAGCGUGCAAGCGUGUGCCUCGUUGUCGCGAAAAUUAACUACGCGAGGUGACAAAGGUUGAAAUUGCUUUACGUUAGAGCGGGAUUUCGUGGUGAAAGUUUGCCACUGGCGGGAGGUUACAAGGGGGUGGAUUUUGGAAUACAAAUUAUAAGCAAGCACAGUUUUCGAGACAAACUACGAUUUGCGAGGUAAACACUCGCCGGAGUUUCGCGGAUCUUCGAAUAUUAACUAAAUUGUAAGGUAACCAAGAGGCGUUCGUGCAAAUACAAAUAGCUACGUAGGUUAAUUUCUGCGGAAUUACAUGCGCAACAGUUAAUCGUAAUAAAUUUCAGAAAAUUAUCCAGCUGCUAUCAUUAAUUCUGUAACAUUACGCCUGUACAUAAUCCUGUUAAUACCGCGUGUACUAAGAAAUUUCUCAAGUAUAAAUCAUCGACUUCCAUAAAUUGAAAAAAGAAGCUUCCUAAAAUAAUUAUCUUUUUUACUUACACAUACUCAUAACAUUUUUCUUUCACAUUUUUUAUCAUAUUGCUAUUUUUCAAUUUUUUCAUUCAUCAGGUUAAUCGAUGUUACUUCUGAAUAGUUUAAAUAACGAAGAACUGUCCACUUCUUAAAAAAUAGGCUGAAACAAGUCUUCUUGAAGGUCUUCCGAAACAAAAAUGGGUGAAGAACACAGUGUAGCGUUCUGCUAUGGUUUUAGGAUUAAACGAAGUUUCACCUUUCCCACCAAAAACCUGUAACUGUACCUCAAAGGAUAAAUGGUGGAAAAAUGCGAAAGAAGUUUCGAAUUCACCGACAUACUCGCGCGAUUCCCCAACACAUUCUCGUUAAUUCGGCACGUGACGACCCGACAGAAAUCAAUUUCGUAGAAAAUCACCGAUUCAGCCGGAGUCCCGCUUUGAUCGACGCAACAAGAAGAAAUCAGAAGUCCCGGUAGUAUCGAAUCUGUAGGAAAGUUGAAUCGCGACACGACCUUCCAUAAUAUCACUUUUUCCGCAUGUACGCAUAAUCGAUCUUAUUUUCUCUCGCCAGUAUGAAAGGUUGCCCCACAAAAUUGGGAUGGAAUUUAUAUUUGGAAUCCAUCGAACCGGCUGACUGCAACGGUUCGUACCACGCGACCAGAAUCAUUUUCUUCCUUGACGUUCUAGGCGUUUCGGGAUAUUCUCGGGAUAGUUAAUUUCGUUGACAUUUAACGUUAAAGAUAGCGCUAAGAUCAUUUUCCAUCGCUAACGAACCGACAAGAAGCACGAUUUUCAUCGACGAGUAUAAUUAUUGAGAAAUUUCUUACUUCAGGGGAAAGGUAGGCGUUGUUUCGUCUUUUGUUUAAAAUGUACAACAACAGGUUGCUGUUCGGCGAUUGUUUGUCAAGCGUAAGCUUAACCUUGGACAUUUGUGGCAGCUAAAAACGCUAUGACGAACAUUCGCGCGAUCGCUUGGAAGCAACACAAGUACAUUAGGAACAUAGAAUAAUUUUAACCAAUUACAGGAACAAAGAAUUACGGAUCUUUUACAAAGCAAAUACUUGGUAUUACGCGUGUUAACACAUAAAUUAGACGCGACAUUAAGAGUUUAAGAGGAAUAUCAGAAAAGAAAGAACUGUGCUAUCUCGUGCGUUAAAUAGAUAAGAAUGCAGAAGGUAAAGUUAGAUCGCAGUGUGGGUGGCAAUCAUUUAGAACGAUUACUCAGACACAAAGAAUUCUAACGUUUAUCCAGCAUGAUUGGCUUGGUCGCCUCGAGUAUUCAUCGAGUCGAGUCGUUUUACGAGUCAGAAUUUUCAUUCUAACUGCAACCAGCUGCGAAUCCAGGCUCGUCGCUGUUUCUUAGAGCAAUCGACGGGUGUAGUCACUGAACCGUCAACGACUGGGAUUCAAAUUUUACAAGAGCAGAACAAGGCGACGAAACGGCUCCAUUAACUACGUUGUAAUCGAUACACGAUUGGUUUCAAAGGAAGGUCAGGAUCAGACAAACCAGAUACACAAUUAAUAACUUUAUCUUUGAUCGAAGGGAAUCGGAAAGAAGCGAGAAAGAGCGAGAGAGGAAACUGACAGCCGGCGAGUAUCGACGAUGAGUGGUAUCGGUGAAAAAGAACAAGAAAACAGUUCCACUGGAACAGAAUCGCUGCGGUUUAAAUGUCUUGGAGCGCGCAUUGGAUUACGACGAUCGUUCUUACGACUUCGACAGCCUACUAUCGCGUUACCAACUUCUGAGAAGGUGGACAGCAGGCCGAAGCGUACCCGCCUUUUUUUCUCCCGACCUUCUCUCCUUGAAAGCUCGGCGAGCCUGCAAUUUCCUUUACGACACAGUAAUGAGCAAAUUGUACCGCCGUAAAACCAACUGCAAAGAGCCAGCUACGGGAAAAAAACUACGUUUAUAUACGCAACUCCUAAUCCGUGUAAGAUUUUUUCAAGCGCGUUUAUUUUCUCGAAAACUUUUACCAACCACCCACGCCUAACCUAUUUAAAGCAGAACGGUGAAAUUCACGACGAAUACACGAACAAGAUUAAAUUAUUUGCUCGUUGGAUCGAUCUAUUGGAAUCUUGUUUCUAUCAAACGCUUCGAGCUCUUUCGGUAUCAUGGUCGUACAUGAGCAGACCAUACACGGUAGAAACAGACACAGGGAUGUUUGUAAUAUAAAUGAUCUGUACACGCUUUAUGAGUACAAAUGUAUUACAGGAACAAAAGUUUUUUAAACAUCGGAUCGUACUUUUGAUAGAUUUCAAUUAACUUCUCUUCAAUGUCUUCCCUUUCGUUGUUACUCGAUCACACAACCUGCUACAAUAUCGAAGGCUCCUAAAUUUCGAUCUCGUCGAUAAAUAAAUAAUUAUCACGCUACGUAAAACAAUUUAACGGCGAUAUGAUAUACGAACUACCGAAUCAAAUACAUAAAAAUAUUAGAAGAUGCCCACCUGAUCAGAAAGCUAGAAAAAUGUAUCAAAUGUCCAGCUGGACAAAUUGUAAAGUUAAAUUAAAUAAAUAAAUAAAUAAAUAAAAAAGAAA